ACCUAAUGUACUAAUAGCUGCAAAAUGUAGUAUUAGCAGUUAGCUUUUAAUUGUAACAGCCAGUUCUCUGCUAUAACACAUUGAAGCUAGGCUAGAGCAUGCUCAUGGUCGUUUUAAGAUACUGUAUACAUGUCUCAGCAGCGAAGAGGGGGAAGAAAGUGGGGGGAGACAAAAGACUGACUGAGAAAGGAUACGGCAGCUGGAUGGGAAAGUACAGGGGAGUAAAAGAUCAGCUAGUCAGCAUCAGAAAAGAAAUACAAGAAGAAGGGUAUAAAUAUUCCUGCCCUGCCUGUGUGCUGUGUGCAGGAUCUGAGAUUAUUAUUUCUCCCUGGCACCUUAUUUGAGCUCAAAUAAAUUUGGUUGUUUGCUUCUCCA